rnacentral:rRNA from 1 species
UGGGAAUCUUCCGCAAUGGGCGAAAGCCUGACGGAGCAAUACCGCGUGAGGGAUGAAGGAUUUUGGUCUGUAACCCUCUUUUCUCAAGAAAGAAGUUCUGACGGUACUUGAGGAAUAAGCAUCGGCUAACUCCGUGCCAGCAGCCGCGGUAAUACGGGGGAUGCAAGCGUUAUCCGGAAUCAUUGGGCGUAAAGCGCCUGUAGGUUGUUUAAUAAGUCUGUUGUUAAAGACUGGGGCUUAACCCCAGGAAAGCAAUGGAAACUACUAGACUAGAGUAUGGUAGGGGUAAAGGGAAUUUCUAGUGUAGCGGUGAAAUGCGUAGAUAUUAGAAAGAACACCGGUGGCGAAAGCGCUUUACUGGACCAUUACUGACACUCAGAGGCGAAAGCUAGGGUAGCCAAAGGGAUUAGAUACCCCUGUAGUCA